AUGUUAAUUAUUGUGGUCUGGAAUUAUCUCCUUCUCCUCAGGACCUUGAGAGACAACAUCUGCUUCGGCUGCUGGUGAUUUUGCAGUGUUAAUCACUGGGCACUGGAAUUAACUCCACCUCAUCUCAACUAUGGGAUCUCUCCUUGGGAUCACCACUGCAAGAGUAAAGCAGUCACUCACAGUCACUCAAACUCCUUUCUUCAGUGUUGAAAAGCACUCAAGGCAGCUAGCCUGCUGGGUGGGGUGUUCCUCCAAUAUCCACUCCACUCCCAUGACCAUGAGUGUGAUGGUCAUAAUAACGAGGGAGGAGAGUUUAACCCUGCAGCAGUCAAAAGCUAAGGACUGUGACUGCAUGAAGAGAACUGCAGCUGGCCUAGCGACUCCACCUUCCCCUGAAGGGUAUCAACAGGUUGGCCCCAGAGGCUGUCUCUGGCUCUCUGUCGGUGACAGCAAGUCUGUCAACUUGCAGAACCCCUCCAGACUAGGACACCCUCCCGCAGACACUUCCCUGGGAUUAAGUGUACUUGGGCCGCUGAGGAAAGACCAGGGGAAUGUCAGGAGCAGAGAUCUGCAACUCCCACAGUACACCUCGCUCAAGCACAUAGGAUCUCUCAAGUUUCUUCUACUACACAUGUAAAAAAGGCAAGCACACUGAGCCCUGUGACAAGGGCUGCACCUGGAGCAUGUAAUUCAGCACUGAGGGAGGAGCUGUGCUAGGCAACACUUGUGGAAUUUUAUUUGAUGGAAUCACUCCUAAUAAAAGUUCAGGUGUGACACA
rnacentral:lncRNA from 1 species